GACCGGAAACUCACCGUGGGCGACAGCAAUAUGUAGGUCAGGCUGAAGGUCUUACCUGAAUCGCUGAGAGGAGGUGCAUGGCCGUCGUCAGUUCGUACUGUGAAGCAUCCUGUUAAGUCAGGCAACGAGCGAGACCCACGCCAACAGUUGCCAGCGUGGUCUUCGGACCGAUGGGGACACUGUUGGGACCGCCUCUGCUAAAGGGGAGGAAGGAAUGGGCAACGGUAGGUCAGCAUGCCCCGAAUUAUCCGGGCUACACGCGGGCUACAAUGGAUGGGACAAUGGGUCCCUACCCCGAAAGGGGUUGGUAAUCUCAUAAACCCGGCCUUAGUUCGGAUCGAGGGCUGCAACUCGCCCUCGUGAAGCUGGAAUCCGUAGUAAUCGCGUUUCAAUAUAGCGCGGUGAAUACGUCCCUGCUCCUU
rnacentral:rRNA from 1 species